rnacentral:rRNA from 1 species
AUACGUAUGUCGCAAGCGUUAUCCGGAAUUAUUGGGCGUAAAGCGAGUCUAGGCGGCUUGUUAAGUCAGAUGUGAAAAUGCGGGGCUCGACUCCGUAUUGCGUUUGAAACUGGCAGGCUAGAGUACUGGAGAGGUGGGCGGAACUACAAGUGUAGAGGUGAAAUUCGUAGAUAUUUGUAGGAAUGCCGAUAGUGAAGACAGCUCACUGGACAGAUACUGACGCUAAAGCUCGAAAGCGUGGGGAGCGAACAGGAUUAGAAACCCCAGUAGUCC